rnacentral:rRNA from 1 species
CGUAGGUGGCAAGCGUUGUCCGGAAGUUAUUGGGCGUAAAGCGCGCGCAGGCGGUUCCUUAAGUCUGAUGUGAAAGCCCCCGGCUCAACCGGGGAAGGUCAUUGGAAACUGGGGAACUUGAGUGCAGAAGAGAAGAGCGGAAUUCCACGUGUAGCGGUGAAAUGCGUAGAGAUGUGGAGGAACACCAGUGGCGAAGGCGGCUCUUUGGUCUGUAACUGACGCUGAGGCGCGAAAGCGUGGGGAGCAAACAGGAUUAGAUACCCUGGUAGUCCACGCCGUAAACGAUGAGUGCUAAGUGUUAGAGGGUUUCCGCCCUUUAGUGCUGCAGCUAACGCAUUAAGCACUCCGCCUGGGGAGUACGGCCGCAAGGCUG